CGAAUUGCGAUAUGUAAUGUGAAUUGCAGAAUUCAGUGAAUCAUCGAAUCUUUGAACGCACAUUGCA
rnacentral:rRNA from 1 species